rnacentral:pre_miRNA from 1 species
GGUGGAAUAGCUGGGUCAAAUGGUGAUUCCAUUCCAAGUUUUCUGAGGAAUAUCCAUACUGCUUUCCAUAGUGAUUGUUCCAAUUUGCAGUCUCACCAGCAAU